UACAGAGGUGGCAAGCGUUGUUCGGAAUUACUGGGCGUAAAGGGCGCGUAGGCGGUUCGUUAAGUCCUGUGUGAAAUCCCCCGGCUCAACUGGGGAACUGCACAGGAAACUAGCGGGCUUGAGUUCGGGAGAGGGAAGCGGAAUUCCGGGUGUAGCGGUGAAAUGCGUAGAUAUCCGGAGGAACACCGGUGGCGAAGGCGGCUUCCUGGACCGACACUGACGCUGAGGCGCGAAAGCUAGGGGAGCAAA
rnacentral:rRNA from 1 species